rnacentral:snoRNA from 1 species
UGGUGGAUGGCGAUGUUACCACUGUGUAGUCUGAGUUUGGGGAACCAGGUGAUGGAGUGUGUUUUGAGACUGGUAGUG